GACGAACCGUGCGAACGUUGUUCGGAAUCACUGGGCGUAAAGGGCGCGUAGGCGGGGAGGUAAGUCGGGUGUGAAAUCCCUCGGCCCAACCGAGGAACUGCGCCCGAGACUGCUUCUCUUGAGUCCCGGAGAGGAAGAUGGAAUUCCCGGUGUAGCGGUGAAAUGCGUAGAUAUCGUAAGGAAGACCAGUGGCGAAGGCGGGUCUCUGGACAGUUCCUGACGCUGAGGCACGAAGGCCAGGGGAGCAAACGGG
rnacentral:rRNA from 1 species